GAUGAACGCUGGCGGCGUGCCUAAUACAUGCAAGUCGAGCGAACAGACGAGGAGCUUGCUCCUCUGACGUUAGCGGCGGACGGGUGAGUAACACGUGGAUAACCUACCUAUAAGACUGGGAUAACUUCGGGAAACCGGAGCUAAUACCGGAUAAUAUAUUGAACCGCAUGGUUCAAUAGUGAAAGACGGUUUUGCUGUCACUUAUAGAUGGAUCCGCGCCGCAUUAGCUAGUUGGUAAGGUAACGGCUUACCAAGGGAACGAUGCGUAGCCGACCUGGGAGGGUGAUCGGCCACACUGGAACUGAGACACGGUCCAGACUCCUACGGGAGGCAGCAGUAGGGAAUCUUCCGCAAUGGGCGAAAGCCUGACGGGGCAACGCCGCGUGAGUGAUGAAGGUCUUCGGAUCGGAAAGCUCUGUUAUUAGGGAAGAACAAGUGUGUAAGUAACUAUGCACAUCUUGACGGUACCUAAUCAAAAAGCCACGGCUAACUACGUG
rnacentral:rRNA from 1 species